rnacentral:rRNA from 1 species
AGUCGAGCGGUAGAGAGGUGCUUGCACCUCUUGAGAGCGGCGGACGGGUGAGUAAAGCCUAGGAAUCUGCCUGGUAGUGGGGGAUAACGCUCGGAAACGGACGCUAAUACCGCAUACGUCCUACGGGAGAAAGCAGGGGACCUUCGGGCCUUGCGCUAUCAGAUGAGCCUAGGUCGGAUUAGCUAGUUGGUGAGGUAAUGGCUCACCAAGGCGACGAUCCGUAACUGGUCUGAGAGGAUGAUCAGUCACACUGGAACUGAGACACGGUCCAGACUCCUACGGGAGGCAGCAGUGGGGAAUAUUGGACAAUGGGCGAAAGCCUGAUCCAGCCAUGCCGCGUGUGUGAAGAAGGUCUUCGGAUUGUAAAGCACUUUAAGUUGGGAGGAAGGGCAUUAACCUAAUACGUUAGUGUUUUGACGUUACCGACAGAAUAAGCACCGGCUAACUCUGUGCCAGCAGCCGCGGUAAUACAGAGGGUGCAAGCGUUAAUCGGAAUUACUGGGCGUAAAGCGCGCGUAGGUGGUUCGUUAAGUUGGAUGUGAAAUCCCCGGGCUCAACCUGGGAACUGCAUUCAAAACUGUCGAGCUAGAGUAUGGUAGAGGGUGGUGGAAUUUCCUGUGUAGCGGUGAAAUGCGUAGAUAUAGGAAGGAACACCAGUGGCGAAAGCGACCACCUGGACUGAUACUGACACUGAGGUGCGAAAGCGUGGGGAGCAAACAGGAUUAG